rnacentral:rRNA from 1 species
UACGUAGGGUGCGAGCGUUAAUCGGAAUUACUGGGCGUAAAGCGUGCGCAGGCGGUGAUGUAAGACCGAUGUGAAAUCCCCGGGCUUAACCUGGGAACUGCAUUGGUGACUGCAUUGCUGGAGUAUGGCAGAGGGGGGUGGAAUUCCACGUGUAGCAGUGAAAUGCGUAGAGAUGUGGAGGAACACCGAUGGCGAAGGCAGCCCCCUGGGCCAAUACUGACGCUGAGAAGCGAAAGCAUGGGGAGCGAACAGG